AUUAAACGCUGGCGGCAUGCCUUACACAUGCAAGUCGAACGGUAGCGCGGGGCAACCUGGCGACGAGUGGCGAACGGGUGAGUAAUGCAUCGGAACGUGCCCUGGAAUGGGGGAUAACGUAGCGAAAGUUACGCUAAUACCGCAUAUUCUGUGAGCAGGAAAGCAGGGGAUCGCAAGACCUUGCGUUCUGGGAGCGGCCGAUGUCGGAUUAGCUAGUUGGUGGGGUAAAGGCCUACCAAGGCGACGAUCCGUAGCGGGUCUGAGAGGAUGAUCCGCCACACUGGGACUGAGACACGGCCCAGACUCCUACGGGAGGCAGCAGUGGGGAAUUUUGGACAAUGGGCGGAACCUGAUCCAGCCAUGCCGCGUGAGUGAAGAAGGCCUUCAG
rnacentral:rRNA from 1 species